GACGUAGGGUGCAAGCGUUGUCCGGAAUUAUUGGGCGUAAAGAGUUCGUAGGCGGUUACUUAAGUCUGGUGUUAAAGCCCGAUGCUCAACGUCGGCAUGGCAUUGGAAACUGGGUAGCUAGAGUGUGUCAGAGGUUACGGGAAUUCCUGGUGUAGCGGUGAAAUGCGUAGAUAUCAGGAGGAACACCUGUGGCGAAAGCGCGUAACUGGGGCAUAACUGACGCUGAGGAACGAAAGCCAGGGUAUCCAAAGGG
rnacentral:rRNA from 1 species